GUUGUUGUUGUUGCUAUUUCUUGGGCCGCUCCCGCGGCAUAUGGAGGUUCCCAGGCUAGGGGGUGAAUCAGAGCUGUAGCCACCGGCCUACGCCAGAGCCACAGCAACUCGGGAUCCGAGCCGCGUCUGCAACCUACACCACAGCUCACAGCAACGCCGGAUCGUCAACCCACUGAGCAAGGGCAGGGACCGAACCCGCAACCUCAUGGCUCCUAGUCGGAUUCGUUAACCACUGCGCCACGACGGGAACUCCAUGCUUUCAUUAAAAUUUUAUGUUUUCAGUUAUUAUAUUUUUAAUUCACAAGGGCUCUCUCUCUCUCUCUUUUAAUUUUAUGGCCACAUCUGCGGUCUGUGGAAAUUCCUCAGCCAGGGACUGAAUCCCGGCUGUAGCUGCAGCCACGCCAGAUCCUUUAACCCACUGAGCUGGGCUGGGGGGGUGGAGCCCGAGUCUCUGCAGUGGGAUUCCUAACCCCCCGUGCCACGGCAGGCCCUCCCAGGGCUCUUUCUCGUUCCCCGUUUUCCAACGCGCCCUGUGCCAGCUGUCUUGGCUUUUCCUGUCUGAGGGUGAUCAUUGCAAUGAAAGCAUUUCUGGCGUUUUCUUCUGGCCCCCGCGUUAGCUCUGCUUCCCGCAGCGCCCUCUUUUCCCUUAGGUCCUGGGCUCUCGCGUACAUCCGAGCAAGGAACCCAGAUGCAGCUCGGUGCCCAGUUGCCAGGACUUUGGGCUGGUCUCCUUUUUGAUUCCUGCAGCCCGUGGAUGGUUGAGUAAGGCCCACAGAACCACGCAGUAGACUACGAGGGGCCCAGGUACCACGGCGCUUAGAGGACCGCUCACUGAUGCUCCCCUAAAAGAUGAGGAGGGGCUUGUGGUACCAGUAGCACUGGGACAAACUGGAUACAAAACACCAUCAAAGGCAACGUAUUAACGCACACUGGAAAGAUCUGGAAGAAAACAUCUCGUGAUGCCAAGAGCGGCUCUGGCGGGGGACACGCCUCUUCCCUCUGCCUCCUUUCCUGCAGCUCCAUACUUUCUGGGCCCUGAUGCCCCCUCCCAACUCCAGGGUCGCUCUGCCCUGGGUUUCUGCCUUGGUCACUUACAAUCUCCCCCCCCUCCCCCCCACCCAAGGACCCGAAGGGGGUGUCCAGUUCUCCCCGGCAGGCAGGCAGUCACCAGGCCCUGGGGACAGUACCAGCUCCUAACACUUGGCCACACUGAGCUCUGCUGCUGUGCUCUCAGAUCACCGGGCACAGAGGUGGCAUGUCCGCAGCGGCGGAGGGCAGCCCCCACCCAGGCCUGCCCUGGAGCAUGGGAGCCAGCACACCUCCGGCGUCCCACCCCCACGGGGACCCCUGGGGACUCUGUGGUGGACAGGACCCUUCCUCAGUCCCCAGGCCUUCAUGCACUGUGCCAAGACCCAGCCCCCUUCAUUCCUGGCUGAGGCAUUUUUAGGUCUUGUGAAUUCAGUUACAGUUACGUACACAGAGGCGGCCCAGCCCAGGGAGAAGCCCCCCCGCCCAUCUGUCUCCUCCCCCUCCCCCUCUGCUCCCCGCUAUGUCCACACUUCGUGGGCCCGCCUCCCCGCAUUUCAUAUUUACCCCUUCCCAUGUCUUCCUGCUGGAGCCCAGCGCAGGCCAUCUAGCGCUUCCCCAACUGCUGGAACAGCCUCAGCAAAGGUCCAGAGAGGGAAGGGCCUCCCUGAAGAUCACACAGCCGGGAGGAGCUUCCCAGCGGCUCAGAUCUGCCCCCCUUCCAGCGAGAACCUGCGGCUUCUCCCUGGAGCCCCCCAGCCACCCAGAGCAGGCCCAUUCCCCCCCCACAGGCUGAAGCUGGCCAAGAUCACAGCAAGAUCCCAAGGUCACAAGCUUGGGGAGAGAGUAGGGGGCACCUACCCAGAUCUGUGCUGCCCACUCGGGUGCCCUGCCCUAGAGAGGUGGGAGGCGAGCUGGAAGAAGGGCGCGAGGAGAGGAGUUCCGUCGUGGCGCAGUGGUGAACGAAUCCGACUGGGAACCAUGAGGUUUUGGGUUCGAUCCCUGCCCUUGCUCAGUGGGUUAAGGAUCUGGGGUUGCUGUGAGCUGUGGUGUAGGUCGCAGACGAGGCUCAGAUCCCGCACUGCUGUGGCUGUGGCGUAGGCCGGAGGCUACCACUCCGAUUAGACCCCUAGCCUGGGAACCUCCAUAUGCCACAGGCAUGAUCCUAAGAAGACAAAAAACAAACAAACAAACAAAAGAAGGGUGCGAGGGGAGGGGAGAGGAGGGUGGAGGACGAGGGUCCCUGGGCACCAGUGUCAGAAAGCUACCCCCACCCCCAGCACCUGUGCAAGCAGAGCCAGACGCUCUGACCUUUGCCUCUGACCUUUGCCUUCUGGCCGGUGCCUGAACCACAACAGAUAAGCAGCUGUGGGGGCAGGGUUUCAGGUGGGCACGUAAGAAUGAGGGUCUCGAGGGCAUCCCCAGGACUGCCCGCCUCCUGAGCCUUCAGACAGCAGCAGGGCAGGAACGCGGAGGUCAAGUUACUAAGCGGCAGCUGCCAGAGGGCGUCUCAGGGCACAGGACCACCCUCUGCUCUGGGGGCUGGAGGGUGGGGGAGCCCUGGACGGGUUCCAAGGUCCCCUGAAACAGAAGUAGAGCCGGGAGAAGGGCCCCAAAGACAAAGGUCAGCAUCCAACAGGCGGGUAGGGAGGACAUUCCAGCGUGACGGCGGCCGGACCGUGGUUGAAGGCGGAAGGGUGGCCCAGAGGGAGAGUCGGGGUCUGGUGAUGGACUGGCGACCUUAGGACCAGGUGUCCAGCAGGCGCGUGGGCAGAAGAAGUGCAUCCGAGAGAUGGGAGGGGCUUGAGGGGCUGGGGCUCCGCUGGGGCCCUGGGCACGUGGCCGGGGCACACCAGGAGACCCGCGUGGAACCCUGGGGACUCUUCAAGGGAAAGCAGAGGGCAGUGCACAGAGGAGUGGGAGUGCCAGCCUGGAAGCCACAGCCAUGGGAGAACUUUCCAGAAAAAAGUCGCCGGAUAUUGAAAGGCCAGAAAAGAUGAGGCCCCCAAGUAUCCACGGAGUCUGGUGACCCUGAGGUCACUGGAGGCUGAGCAAGAGACGUGGGGGGGGGGUAGGGGUGGCAGGAGAGGAAGUGCAAGGGCCUUGGUCCUCAAGCAGCGGUUGAGAUGCUGGCUUCGGGCAUGAGGGGAGGUGGGCAGAGGAGGGCUCGCGAGGAUGGGUCUGGGGGCAGGAGUCUGGGAAGGAGCGGGAGUGGAAGGAGCAGGGCGCCCCCCUUGCAGCACGACCUGCAGUGGAGGUGGUAGGGGGUCGGGCUCUGCGGGGUGCCGGAUGAACGAUGCUGGAGGGGGCUCAAGGGAGACGACGCGGGACACCUGGGCUUAAAGGGGCAGCCCAGGGGCCGCCCUCCCUGCCUGGCCUGGGCUCCCCACUCCAGUCCAGCCUGCUCUGGACGCGGUGGACGGGUCACCCAGGAGCCACGGUGCGGGGUUAAGUAGGGAAUCAGUCCUUCCAGGAUUCAGUGCAGCACCGGGGAAAGAAGCGGCGCGGGGCCCAGAGAAGGCGGAGGGAGCGAGACGAAGGCGCGCCGAGGCACAGCCCCCACCCUGCCCC
rnacentral:lncRNA from 1 species